CUUCCAACCUCACCUGUUGUGUAAUUCUGUGAAAUGAGUGAAAGAAUUUAGGACAUUUAGACACUGAGGUGAAGUGCUAACCAUACCUGCCUGUGUAAAAGGGAAUGGAAAUGAGUAAUCUUGCUUGAGAAGACACGAAUUAGCCAAGUCAGAUUACAGCAUACUUGAAACUCUGCAAGUUUUGGAGUUUCCAAUCCUGAAUCUUCAAGAGCUGAUUGCUCACAUAAUAUUCCUGUGCAGAGCCUGCCUGCAUUUGAAGUGUACAUCUCCUGUCCAGCCUCCUUCUUUGAGCUCCUUUAGCUGCUGGUAUCAUGCUGAUUUAGUUGGCAUUUCCCACUUGGUCACAGAGGACAGAGAUUAGAUCAGUAUCAGAACAUGGAAACAGAAGUGCUGGAAGAUCACAUGAGGAACCUCAGCACUUUCUGGCAAAUCCUCUCAAAUGUCACAAAGGAGCUGAAG
rnacentral:lncRNA from 1 species